UACGGGGGGGGCAAGCGUUGUUCGGAAUUACUGGGCGUAAAGGGCUCGUAGGCGGCCAACUAAGUCGGAUGUGAAAUCCCCAGGCUCAACCUGGGAACUGCAUCCGAUACUGGAUGGCUUGAAUUCGGGAGAGGGAUGCAGAAUUCCAGGUGUAGCGGUGAAAUGCGUAGAUAUCUGGAGGAAUACCGGUGGCGAAGGCGGCAUCCUGGACCGGCAUUGACGCUGAGGAGCGAAAGCCAGGGGAGCAAACGGG
rnacentral:rRNA from 1 species